rnacentral:tRNA from 1 species
GUCCCCUUCCUAGAGGCAGGACACCGCCCUUUCACGGCGGUAACAGGGGUUCGAAUCCCCUAGGGGACGCCA